UACAGGAGGUCCCAAGCGUUGUUCGGAUUCAUUGGGCGUAAAGGGUGCGUAGGCGGCGCGGUAAGUCGGGUGUGAAAUCUCGGGGCUUAACUCCGAAACUGCAUUCGAUACUGCCGUGCUUGAGGACUGGAGAGGAGACUGGAAUUUACGGUGUAGCGGUGAAAUGCGUAGAUAUCGUAAGGAAGACCAGUGGCGAAGGCGGGUCUCUGGGCCGAUACUGACGCUGAGGAGCGAAAGCGUGGGGAGCGAACAGG
rnacentral:rRNA from 1 species